rnacentral:rRNA from 1 species
UACGUAGGGUGCAAGCGUUAAUCGGAAUUACUGGGCGUAAAGCGUGCGCAGGCGGUUGUGCAAGACAGAUGUGAAAUCCCCGGGCUCAACCUGGGAAUUGCAUUUGUGACUGCACGGCUAGAGUGUGUCAGAGGGGGGUAGAAUUCCACGUGUAGCAGUGAAAUGCGUAGAGAUGUGGAGGAAUACCGAUGGCGAAGCAGCCCCGUGGAUAACAUGACGCCUCAUGCACGAAAGCGUGGGGAGCAAACAGGA